rnacentral:lncRNA from 1 species
ACAAACAUCAACAUAAAUAGCAUCAAAUCCAAGAGAAAAUUUAAAAUAUCUCUUGUAUUCUUGUUCUCUUGACUGAAGCAAAGAAAAACAUAACGAAGAAAGAGAUGACAAGGAAAUGUGUAAGAGGUAGUGGAAUGAUGAAUGGAGGAAGAAGAAGCAUCCCAAUGAGAUGUUCAGGGCGUCCAAUUCCAAAGAGGGGACAAGUCAAGGUUGGAAUAGUGGUGGGUCUGGCUAACUCUGUGGCUUCAAUCUUCUCUCGUAGGAGAGCUAGAUAAAGAGAGAGUGCACUGCACUUCUUCACCUUCUUCAUUUGCUCUACUACAAGUUAGGUUUUGGAGGGAAAAUAAAAAGUUUCAUAAUAUGAGAAAUAUAUUUAAUGACUUCUCUUUCAUUUUAUUUCUCUUCAAAACUCAAUCCGGAACCCUUUAGCUUAGGAACUCACUUUGAGGGAGUGAAGCAAUUAGCCAAGAGUUUUUUUUUUGAUGAGUUUGAGUUUGUAUAAAUUGGGUGUUUUUUAGAUCCCUUCUUGAUAUUAUUAUGAAAAUCAUCUUCUUUCUAUUUACUUUCUA